UCUGCCUGGAUGCUGAAGAUGCUUUCCAUUCUUUGCUCAAAGCUGGGCAGCUCUGAGCUGCUGGUGCCUUCAAGCUGUUUGCCUGAGUGGCAGGUCAUCCUGCAGGGCCACACCACACCGUUGGGUCAGAGGCCACGGCUUCUGAAGAUCUGUUGCCUCACAGUGAGCACUAUGUGCCUGUCACCUGAGCAUGGCAGCUGCUGCUCUAAUAACCAGGCAUUGAAUCAGUUUCCCCAAAGCAGUGGUAGCUAAGAGAAUUUUUCUUUCGGAAGAGUUUCAGCUGUGGCAGAGGAGUCCCGUGCCCUUCCCAACGCCCCUGUUUUUGUCACCUUCCUAGGCUUGGAGAACCCCCUGCCUGAGCGUCCCCGGGAAAAAGAAGAACCAGUGGUUCGAGAGACAGGUGAGGUGGUCGACUGCCACCUCAGUGACAUGCUGCAGCAGCUGCACAGUGUCAAUGCCUCCAAGCCCUCGGAGCGUGGGCUGGUCAGGCAAGAGGAGGCUGAGGAUCCUGCCUGCAUCCCCAUCUUCUGGGUCAGCAAGUGGGUGGACUAUUCGGAC
rnacentral:sRNA from 1 species